rnacentral:rRNA from 1 species
CGGAUCCUUCGGGAUUAGUGGCAGACGGGUGAGUAACGCGUGGGAAGCUACCUUGUGGUAGGGAACAACAGUUGGAAACGACUGCUAAUACCCUAUGAGCCCUAUGGGGGAAAGAUUUAUCGCCAUGAGAUGUGCCCGCGUUAGAUUAGCUAGUUGGUAAGGUAAUGGCUUACCAAGGCGACGAUCUAUAGCUGGUCUGAGAGGAUGAUCAGCCACACUGGGACUGAGACACGGCCCAGACUCCUACGGGAGGCAGCAGUGGGGAAUAUUGGACAAUGGGGGCAACCCUGAUCCAGCCAUGCCGCGUGAGUGAUGACGGCCUUAGGGUUGUAAAGCUCUUUCAGCAGUGAAGAUAAUGACAUUAACUGCAGAAGAAGCCCCGGCUAACUUCGUGCCAGCAGCCGCGGUAAUACGAAGGGGGCUAGCGUUGUUCGGAAUCACUGGGCGUAAAGCGUACGUAGGCGGACUGAUCAGUCAGGGGUGAAAUCCCGGGGCUCAACCCCGGAACUGCCUUUGAUACUGUCAGUCUUGAGAUCGAGAGAGGUGAGUGGAACUCCGAGUGUAGAGGUGAAAUUCGUAGAUAUUCGGAAGAACACCAGUGGCGAAGGCGGCUCACUGGCUCGAUACUGACGCUGAGGUA